rnacentral:rRNA from 1 species
UACGAGAGGUGCAGCGUUAUUCGGAAUUGAUUGGCGUAAAGGGCGCGUAGGCGGGUCAUUAAGUUUGUUGUUAAAUCCUCUGGCUUAACCAGAGACAAGCAAUAAAAACUGGUAACCUAGAGCGUGAGAGAGAGAAGUGGAAUUCCCGGAGUAGCGGUAAAAUGCGUAGAUCUCGGGAGGAACACCAAUGGCGAAGGCUGCUUCUUGGCUCAUUGCUGACGCUGAGGCGCGAAAGCGUGGGGAGCAAACAGG